CCUACGGGCGGCUGCAGUGGGGAAUAUUGCACAAUGGGGGAAACCCUGAUGCAGCGACGCCGCGUGAGUGAUGAAGGUUUUCGGAUCGUAAAGCUCUAUCAGCAGGGAAGAACGUGACGUUACCUGAUCAAGAAGCACCGGCUAACUACGUGCCAGCAGCCGCGGUAAUACGUAGGGGGCAAGCGUUAUCCGGUUUUACUGGGUGGAAAGGGAGCGUAGACGGCAGCGCAAGUCAGGAGUGAAAUCCCGGGGCUUAACCCCGGAACUGCUUUUGAAACUGUGCAGCUAGAGUGCAGGAGAGGCAAGUGGAAUUCCGAGUGUAGCGGUGAAAUGCGUAGAUAUUAGGAGGAACACCAGUGGCGAAGGCGGCUUACUGGAACGUAACUGACGUUGAGGCUCGAAAGCGUGGGGAGCAAACAGGAUUAGAUACCCUAGUAGUC
rnacentral:rRNA from 1 species